UUUUCUUCUGCUUCUUCUUCUUCUUCUUCCAAAGGAAGUGGCCUCUUCCCAUGUUUUCGAUCCACUUUGGCAACUGAGAUCGAUCACGUUAAAGGUUCGAUCAAGUAUCCUACUAUAUAUAGGUAGUUCUUCACUUGGCUGUUCAGCGAUGAUUCUGAGUGUUAACUGCUAAAUUUUGUUUAUGGUUUUGCUGAACGUGCAAACUAAUUGAAUCUAACUGAUAAGAAAGUGUGUUGAUGUUAGUGUAUUUGGGUGGAUCGAACAUAAAGGCGAUCAUGGAAAGGGAGAAGAAAUGGAACUAGGAAAGAGAAGUGGAAACGAAGCUAGGGUUUUUGAAUGAAAUUCUGAGGACUACAAAUAAACUGAAGAAAGAGGAACACAAAAGUCUUCUGUUCCCUUAUUCUUCUUCUGUCUCCUUUUCUUACUUUAUCUUUUUUUAUGUUUACUUUUUAAUUAAACCUUU
rnacentral:lncRNA from 1 species